rnacentral:rRNA from 1 species
GUCUACGGCCAUGCCACCAUGAAUAAGCCUGAUCCCGUCUGAUCUCGGAAGCUAAGCAGGAUCGGGCCUGGUUAGUACUUGGAUGGAAGACCACCUAGGAAGACCAGGUGUUGUAGGUG